rnacentral:tRNA from 1 species
AGAAAGUUAGUCUAACUAAGACAGCUGAUUUCGGCUCAGCAGAUUAUAGCGAACUCUAUAACUUUCUU